rnacentral:rRNA from 1 species
CCAGACUCCUACGGGAGGCAGCAGUGGGGAAUAUUGCACAAUGGGGGAAGCCCUGAUGCAGCAACGCCACGUGAGUGAAGAAGUAUUUCGAUAUGUAAAGCUCCAUCAGCAGGGAAGAAGAUGACGGUACCUGAGUAAGAAGCCCCGGCUAACUACGUGCCAGCAGCCGCGGUAAUACGUAGGGGGCAAGCGUUAUCCGGAUUUACUGGGUGUAAAGGGAGCGCAGACGGCAGGGCAAGUCUGAUGUGAAAGUCCGGGGCUCAACCCCGGGACUGCAUUGGAAACUGUCCGGCUAGAGUGCAGGAGAGGUAAGUGGAAUUCCUAGUGUAGCGGUGAAAUGCGUAGAUAUUAGGAGGAACACCAGUGGCGAAGGCGGCUUACUGGACUGUAACUGACGUUGAGGCUCGAAAGCGUGGGGAGCAAACAGGAUUAGAUACCCCCGUAU